GACGAACGCUGGCGGCGUGCUUAACACAUGCAAGUCGAACGAUGAAGCCGGAGCUUGCUCUGGUGAAUUAGUGGCGAACGGGUGAGUAACACGUGAGUAACCUGCCCUUGACUCUGGGAUAACUGCGGGAAACUGUAGCUAAUACCGGAUACGACCCUCGGAGGCAUCUCCUGGGGGUGGAAAGAAUUUCGGUCAAGGAUGGACUCGCGGCCUAUCAGCUAGUUGGUGAGGUAAAGGCUCACAAAGGCGACGACGGGUAGCCGGCCUGAGAGGGUGACCGGCCACACUGGGACUGAGACACGGCCCAGACUCCUACGGGAGGCAGCAGUGGGGAAUAUUGCACAAUGGGCGCAAGCCUGACGCAGCAACGCCGCGUGAGGGAUGACGGCCUUCGGGUUGUAAACCUCUUUUAGCAGGGAAGAAGCGAAAGUGACGGUACCUGCAGAAAAAGCACCGGCUAACUACGUGCCAGCAGCCGCCGUAA
rnacentral:rRNA from 1 species